UAAUUCUCGACAGGCAUGAAACCAAUACCCGCAUUUCCUUGUUUUUCGCCCCAUCCCAUUCGCUCCAUCAGUUGAGACAGAUGCCGGAGCGGGACCGGGACUACAGUUUGUGAGGCGAAUCCGCCGCUCUCGAUUUGUGUGACGCGCAUUUUGCAGAUGUAAGUGGCAUAAACCCAAAAAUGAUGAAACACGAGAGCGAAAUCCGUAAAGCUAGAAUAGGUGGACGAUGUAUGCUCUUCUGACCAUCUACUCGUGACACUAGCCCUAGCCGAAAGCUCACAUUCUAUUAUUACACUAGAAAUAGAGCGGCACACAGAUUUCCUCAACCUUCCCGCUUCUUGCCCUUUUAUUUGUUUUCGUUAUUGUCUAUUUCGGGCAAUGGGCGCACCGAAGCAAAUGCUAAAAGCGAAAGCCGACUGAGCAGUCUAGCAGGGAGUUGAGAGAGCAUCGGAGGAGGAGCAGGAGGCGGACAGACGGUACACGCACGCAUAUAAUAAUUUCCUGUUCAAUGAGCAAUUACUGUAAUAAAGAUACAUCUCGGCUACUCUAUUAUACGCAUCGCAUUUAUAACCCCCAACUCCCCACAACUCCACUCCCCCAACCGACCAACUCAGGGACACCAAAUUUGGUCUAGUCCAUGACAAUGAUGAUGAUGAUGAAGAUGAUGAGAGUGAAGACGGAAGAGGAGUGACAUCACACAUAGAGCAUGGAGGCAGGAGAAAAGCCCAAACAGACGAGACUAAUACCAGAUUCAAGGUCUAUUCAAUUGCAGCUUGCCGCGAUGACCACGAUUACAAUUGUCGAUUGCCAGGCCUGGGUUGGGACUCACAUCUACUUCAAGCGCUGGGAGAUUAGACUAUAACAAGGAACUGGGGCUAUAUAUAUAUUUAUAAGAAGAGAUAAUUGGAGUGCGCAAAAUCGAAAAUUGUUGGCAACAUUUCAGUCCGAGAUGAAAUCAAACGCAACUCAGAUUCAUUUAUACAGCACGGAGCAUAUAUAUGUUGCAUACACUAGCAUCAAAUCGGACUAAGAGCACUAGUAGAUUCGUCAAAUUAUAUGUAUUUAGCUAAAGCAGAAAAUCAUUUUGUAAUCAGUUUCCCACGGUUAAAAAACUUUGGUUGUUCCUUCUGUACAACAAAUUAAUUGAAACUAAAUGAAAGCUGAAGCAAACGCAGAGCUCGUCUCAACAGGCUCAAAUUCCAGCAAGCACUAUUCUUCCAUAGGUCGAAUGCACAUUCAGGGUCAAGCACCCUUCCUAGUCAAUUGAUAUACAAGACAGAAGAUAAAUCUGAAAAUAGAAACGUUAAUAUCUCCUACUUUUUUGCAUGUCGUACUCUCAGCCUUAUUUGGAAUAAUGUCUUCCGGUUUUACGAUAUCAGGACUUUAAUCAACUCGCACAAAGUCUCACAACUUGAAGAUCCUUGAAGAUUCUUGAAUGGGUUUCAAUACAAAGUGGAGCGAAAACAUUCAAGGAAAUUGUACGAUUUGUAUCUGAAGUCCUGCAGCUUCUGUAAGAGCGCAACGGUCGGAAAAAAGGGGAAAUACAGUUCGGGAUUACAAUUUCAGAUUUCAAAGAUGAAAGGAACAGCCUGACAUAUAUAUAAUAUGUAUGUCUGUGCUUAUAUAUAGCCAUCAGUCUUUCAAAGAUCACGACGAAGAACCCAUUAGCUCGUCUUAAGACAGGAAGAAAAAAAUGAAUAGCCUUUUAUAGCAUACGAAAUCUAGAAGUUGGCUUCCUUGACGCAUUUCCGAUAAUUGGAAAUGGAAAUAAAAGUGUCGACACAAAGAAAA